UACAGAGGGUGCAAGCGUUGUUCGGAAUUACUGGGCGUAAAGCGCGUGUAGGCGGUUUUCUAAGUCAGGUGUGAAAGCCCCCGGCUUAACCGGGGAAGUGCGCCUGAAACUGGGAGGCUUGAGUAUCGGAGAGGAAAGGGGAAUUCCCGGUGUAGAGGUGAAAUUCGUAGAUAUCGGGAGGAACACCGGCGGCGAAGGCGCCUUUCUGGUCGAUCACUGACGCUGAGACGCGAAAGCGUGGGGAGCAAACAGG
rnacentral:rRNA from 1 species